AUUGAACGCUGGCGGCAGGCUUAACACAUGCAAGUCGAACGAGUGGCGGACGGGUGAGUAAUGCUUGGGAAUCUAGCUUAUGGAGGGGGAUAACUACGGGAAACUGUAGCUAAUAACGCGUACCCUCGGAUGCGCCCACAUGGGCUUAGGUAGUUGGUGAGGUAAAGGCUCACCUACCCGACGAUCUCUAGCUGGUCUGAGAGGAUGACCAGCCACACUGGGACUGAGACACGGCCCAGACUCCUCCGGGAUGCAGCAGUGGGGAAUAUUGCGCAAUGGGGGCAACCCUGAUGCAGCCAUGCCGCGUGAAUGAAGAAGGCCUUCGGGUUGUAAAGUACUUUCAGUCGGGAGGCGUUACUCACAGAAGAAGCACCGGCUAACUCCGUGCCAGCAGCCGCGGUAAUUC
rnacentral:rRNA from 1 species